rnacentral:rRNA from 1 species
GGGUCCAACCUCCCACCCGUGUUUAUUUUACCUUGUUGCUUCGGCGGGCCCGCCUUAACUGGCCGCCGGGGGGCUUACGCCCCCGGGCCCGCGCCCGCCGAAGACACCCUCGAACUCUGUCUGAAGAUUGAAGUCUGAGUGAAAAUAUAAAUUAUUUAAAACUUUCAACAACGGAUCUCUUGGUUCCGGCAUCGAUGAAGAACGCAGCGAAAUGCGAUACGUAAUGUGAAUUGCAAAUUCAGUGAAUCAUCGAGUCUUUGAACGCACAUUGCGCCCCCUGGUAUUCCGGGGGGCAUGCCUGUCCGAGCGUCAUUGCUGCCCUCAAGCCCGGCUUGUGUGUUGGGCCCCGUCCCCCGAUCUCCGGGGGACGGGCCCGAAAGGCAGCGGCGGCACCGCGUCCGGUCCUCGAGCGUAUGGGGCUUUGUCACCCGCUCUGUAGGCCCGGCCGGCGCUUGCCGAUCAACCCAAAUUUUUAUCCAGGUUGACCUCGGAUCAGGUAGGGAUACCCGCUGAACUUAAGCAUAUCAAUAAGCGGAAGAA